GGGACCUUGACGCAGUUGGCUAGCGCGCAGGUCUCAUAUAUAUAUAUAUAUAUAUGACCCGAUGGGAAUAUCGGGGGUAAUCCUGAGGUCGUGAGUUCGAGCCUCACAGGUCCCA